rnacentral:rRNA from 1 species
UACGAGGGGGGGCAAGCGUUGUUCGGAAUUAUUGGGCGUAAAGGGUGCGUAGGCGGUUUGGUAAGUCUUAUGUGAAAUCUACAGGCUCAACUUGUAGUCUGCAUGAGAAACUGCCGGGCUUGAGUAUGGGAGAGGUGAGUGGAAUUCCUGGUGUAGCGGUGAAAUGCGUAGAUAUCAGAAGGAACGCCGGCGGCGAAGGCGGCGCUCUGGACCGAGACUGACGCUGAGCGCGGAAGCGUGGGAGCA